rnacentral:rRNA from 1 species
AUUGAACGCUGGUGGCAGGCCUAACACAUGCAAGUCGAACGAGUGGCGGACGGGUGAGUAAUGCUUGGGAAUCUAGCUGAUGGAGGGGGAUAACUACGGGAAACGGUAGCUAAUACCGCGUACCAUAGGAUGAGCCCAGGUGGGAUUAGGUAGUUGGUGGGGUAACGGCUCACCUAGGCGACGAUCUCUAGCUGGUCUGAGAGGAUGAUCAGCCACACUGGGACUGAGACACGGUCCAGACUCCGACGGGAGGCAGCAGUGGGGAAUAUUGCAAAAUGGGCGCAAGCCUGAUGCAGCCAUGCCGCGUGUAUGAAGAAGGCCUUAGGGUUGUAAAGUACUUUCAGCGGGGAGGCGUUACCCGCAGAAGAAGCACCGGCUAACUCCGUGCCAGCCGCCGCGGUAAUAC